rnacentral:rRNA from 1 species
AAUGAACGCUGGCGGCAUGCCUAACACAUGCAAGUCGAACGAGACCUUCGGGUCUAGUGGCGCACGGGUGCGUAACGCGUGGGAACCUGCCCUUAGGUUCGGAAUAACUACCCGAAAGGGGUGCUAAUACCGGAUAAUGUCUUCGGACCAAAGAUUUAUCGCCUUUGGAUGGGCCCGCGUUGGAUUAGCUAGUUGGUAGGGUAAAAGCCUACCAAGGCGACGAUGCAUAGCUGGUCUGAGAGGAUGAUCAGCCACACUGGGACUGAGACAAGGCCCAGACUCCGGAGGGAGGCAGCAGCCGGGAAUCUUCCGCAAGGGGCGAGAGGGUAACGGAGCAAAGGCGCGGAAGUGAUGAAGGACUUCGGCGCGUAAAAUUAUGAUGUUAGGGGAGAAAAAAUGUUUAAUUACCUAGGCAGGUCUUGACGGUACCGGAUAAGAAAGCCCCGGCUAACUCCGUG